rnacentral:rRNA from 1 species
UCACACCCAGAACCCUUAAACAAUAUUGAGUAAUUCUAUAUCGCUAUAGAAGAUUUUAUGUUAAAACUAGUAACAAGAAGAAGAACUUCUUACAUGAUGCAAGUAUAAAUCAGACAGGACACCCCGCUGAUAAUUAACACCAAUGAAGAAAAAGUAGUAACUCACCAAGAAAACUCUACUASAUAUAUGUGUUAACCUAACACCAGAGCAUUCCAAAAAAGAUUAAAAGAAAGAGAAGGAACUCGGCAAAUAUUAACUCGCCUGUUUACCAAAAACAUCGCCUCUUGAAUAAAUAUAAGAGGUCCAGCCUGCCCAGUGACUCUGUUCAACGGCCGCGGUAUCCUAACCGUGCGAAGGUAGCGUAAUCACUUGUUCUUUAAAUAAGGACUAGUAUGAAKGGCACCACGAAGGUUAUACUGUCUCCUCUUUUUAAUCAGUGAAAUAAUCUCCCCGUGAAGAAGCGGGAAUGAAACUAUAAGACGAGAAGACCCUAGGGAGCUUAAACCACGUAGAACUUGCACCUACCAAACACAAAUUCCAGAAAAUUAUACUUCAUCCUGCAAGAUAUACCAGUUAGGUGGGGUGACCGCGGAGCAAAAAUAAACCUYCACAUUGAAAGGAACCUACUCSUUAGCCAAGAGCCACACCUCUUGCAACAUAACAAKGACAUUAAUUGMCCCAAUMUUUUGAUCAACGAACCAAGUUACCCUAGGGAUAACAGCGCAAUCCACUUUAAGAGCUCCAUCGACAAGUGGGUUUACGACCUCGAUGUUGGAUCAGGGUAUCCMGGUGGUGCAGCCG